rnacentral:rRNA from 1 species
UAACUGAAGAGUUUGAUCAUGGCUCAGAUUGAACGCUGGCGGCAGGCUUAACACAUGCAAGUCGAGCGGGGUGAUGUGCUUCGGUACUGAUCCUAGCGGCGGACGGGUGAGUAAUGCUUAGGAAUCUGCCUAUUAGUGGGGGACAACAUUCCGAAAGGAAUGCUAAUACCGCAUACGCCCUACGGGGGAAAGCAGGGGAUCUUCGGACCUUGCGCUAAUAGAUGAGCCUAAGUCGGAUUAGCUAGUUGGUGGGGUAAAGGCCUACCAAGGCGACGAUCUGUAGCGGGUCUGAGAGGAUGAUCCGCCACACUGGGACUGAGACACGGCCCAGACUCCUACGGGAGGCAGCAGUGGGGAAUAUUGGACAAUGGGCGGAAGCCUGAUCCAGCCAUGCCGCGUGUGUGAAGAAGGCCUUUUGGUUGUAAAGCACUUUAAGCGGGGAGGAGGCUCUUGAGGAUAAUACCCUUGAAGAGUGGACGUUACCCGCAGAAUAAGCACCGGCUAACUCUGUGCCAGCAGCCGCGGUAAUACAGAGGGUGCGAGCGUUAAUCGGAUUUACUGGGCGUAAAGCGUGCGUAGGCGGCUGAAUAAGUCGGAUGUGAAAUCCCCGAGCUUAACUUGGGAAUUGCAUACGAUACUGUUUGGCUAGAGUAUGGGAGAGGAUGGUAGAAUUCCAGGUGUAGCGGUGAAAUGCGUAGAGAUCUGGAGGAAUACCGAUGGCGAAGGCAGCCAUCUGGCCUAAUACUGACGCUGAGGUACGAAAGCAUGGGGAGCAAACAGGAUUAGAUACCCUGGUAGUCCAUGCCGUAAACGAUGUCUACUAGCCGUUGGGUCCUUUGAGGACUUAGUGGCGCAGCUAACGCGAUAAGUAGACCGCCUGGGGAGUACGGUCGCAAGACUAAAACUCAAAUGAAUUGACGGGGGCCCGCACAAGCGGUGGAGCAUGUGGUUUAAUUCGAUGCAACGCGAAGAACCUUACCUGGCCUUGACAUACUAGAAACUUUCCAGAGAUGGAUUGGUGC